AGGAUCAUUACAGUAGUCAUCCGGGUUGCCGCAAGGCCUCCCGGGUAACCUACCACCCUUUGUUUAUUACACUUUGUUGCUUUGGCAGGCCUGCCCUCGGGCUGCUGGCUCCGGCCGGCGAGCGUCUGCCAGAGGACCUAAACUCUGUUUGUCUAUAAUGUCUGAGUACUAUAUAAUAGUUAAAACUUUCAACAACGGAUCUCUUGGUUCUGGCAUCGAUGAAGAACGCAGCGAAAUGCGAUAAGUAAUGUGAAUUGCAGAAUUCAGUGAAUCAUCGAAUCUUUGAACGCACAUUGCGCCCCCUGGUAUUCCGGGGGGCAUGCCUGUCCGAGCGUCAUUACAACCCUCAAGCUCAGCUUGGUGUUGGGCCCCGCCGCCCCGGCGGGCCCUAAAGUCAGUGGCGGUGCCGUCCGGCUCCGAGCGUAGUAAUUCUUCUCGCUCUGGAGGUCCGGUCGUGUGCUUGCCAGCAACCCCCAAUUUUUUUCAGGUUGACCUCGGAUCAGGUAGGGAUACCCGCUGAACUUAAGCAUAUCAAUAAGCGGAGGAAAAGAAACCAACAGGGAUUACCUCAGUAACGGCGAGUGAAGCGGUAACAGCUCAAAUUUGAAAUCUGGCCUCACGGUCCGAGUUGUAAUUUGUAGAGGAUGCUUCGAGCAUGGUCUGGCCUAAGUUCCUUGGA
rnacentral:misc_RNA from 1 species